GAAAGAGGGGGAGGGAGAGAGGGGAGGAGGGAGGGAGGGAGGGAGGGAGGGGUUUCUGGAGAGAAGACAGAAGAGAAGGGGGGAGAAAAGAGGAGGGGGAGACAUAUAAAAGCCCCCUGUAGUUCGAGCCACACUUUAUCCAGCCCGUGUCUCCAGCUCUGUCCACAGUCACCGAGAAGCCCUAUCUCUCUCUCUCUCUCUCUAACACACACUCUUACACACACACUCAUACACUCGCUCAGAAUCUCGACUGCUCAACGUGUGGCUCUCUGUCUCACAGAAGUACUCGCACAAACUUUGAUUGGCUGCACGCUCGCUCUUUCACACACACACACACGCUCUCACACUCACACGUUCGCGCUCCUCGGUACGACCUUCAGCAGCUGCGCUCACAAAGAAAGGAUGAUGAGAGACUCCACGAGGAGAAUGAAUGACUUCUGGGGAAGGAUGUCUGUCGCUCUGCUGUUCUGUGCCCUGCUCCUACAAGGUGAGUCAAAACACAAACUUUUCUCUCUCUCUUUUGAAGUUAGAGGAAACAACUUUGAGGUGACAAUGAAGAGAAAAAAGGCGACAGUUUUUCUACUUUAACUUCAGCACAUGUGCAGUGUGAGUUCUCUUUGUUCCCUAACGCUAGUUCCUUGUGCCUGUGAAGUAGUGUUCCAAAACGUUCCUUAAACGUUCCUUAAAAGUAAAAAAAAAGAAAAAACAGCAAAUCCUAAAUAACAUGUGGAUUCUUUCUGCUGUGAAACACACACACACACACACGCAGCGUGGGUCAUUUUCUUGUGGCGCGGAGCCGAGUGUGUGUGUGGAGCGACGAGGCUCUCGAGUGUGUGUGGGUAGUCUUGAGGCUCUUGCUCAGAGCAGGCUGCUGAAAAGGCUCAAAAGAAAGGGGGCCGCUAUGGAGUGGAAUCUUAGCCGUUAAAGCUAAUUAUGGACAACAUCCUGAGUGCUGCCAGGUUAGACCUGGAAAGAGGUGUGUGUGUGUGUGUGUGUGUGUGUGUGCCUGUG
ensembl:lncRNA